CCUACGGGAGGCUGCAGUGGGGAAUAUUGGGCAAUGGGCGCAAGCCUGACCCAGCAACGCCGCGUGAAGGAAGAAGGCUUUCGGGUUGUAAACUUCUUUUCUCAGGGACGAAGAAAGUGACGGUACCUGAGGAAUAAGCCACGGCUAACUACGUGCAAGCAGCCGCGGUAAUACGUAGGUGGCAAGCGUUAUCCGGAUUUACUGGGUGUAAAGGGAGUGUAGGCGGGAAAGCAAGUCAGAUGUGAAAACCAUGGGCUCAACCUGGGGCCUGCAUUUGAAACUGUUUUUCUUGAGUACUGGAGAGGCAGACGGAAUUCCUAGUGUAGCGGUGAAAUGCGUAGAUAUUAGGAGGAACACCAGUGGUGAAGGCGGUCUGCUGGACAGCAACUGACGCUGAGGCGCGAAAGCGUGGGGAGCAAACAGGAUUAGAUACCCCUGUAGUC
rnacentral:rRNA from 1 species